AUUUAUUAACCAAUAACUUGCAUCAUUUUUCAUUUUAUUAUUAUUUAUUUAUUUAUUUAUUUAUACAAAAGAAAAGUGGAUUGUACUAUGUGAUUUAGCCACAGAAAGAGUAAAAAGAAAUAAGGAGGAGGAGAAAGGAAAGGAUGAAAAGUUCCUGCCAUAAAGAAGCAGUGGGAGGAAGAUAAAACAACCAACAGUUUAUGAGACUGCAACAAUCCCACAUCAAGCAACUUAAACAAGUAAAAACAAGUAAUGUAAAACUUCUGACUUGGAAGUCAAAAACGGACAAAAACAAAAAAUGUCCAAAGAACAUGUUAGAGCAGACGAAAAUAACAAAAUGUGCUGACAAGAACAAAGAGCAGUAGGUAUUGUAAUUGUUCAGAAUCCAGCUGACAAGAAGCAGUUCAGUAAUUCAAUGUUCUUGGUGAAGAUGGGAACACAGCAAGUUGUGGAUUAAGUAGUGUGCCAUUCGUUCACAGCAGAUGAUUGCUGGUAAAGUGGAGAACACUGUCACAAUUCUUCAAGGAAGUUUGAAGAGUGAUGAAAUAAAAAUACCAAAAGGCAAGUGGGAAUCACAGGAAAUGCAAAAACAUAAAUAAGUUGAGGAUGCAGUGAAUCUUCAAGCAUAACUAGUUGAACUUCAGUAUAUCAAAAAACUCAAGUAAAACAGUUAAGUAAAGAUUAGUAGCAGAAUAUGUUAAGGGGCUGUAUCAGCUGGUUUUAUUCAGUUGGUGUCAGUAUUUCCAGUAGAGAUAAUGAAUUUUUAAGUCUUUCAGAUUAGUUUCACUGUCAAGGAAGACCAAUGGUCAGGUGGCCAAUUCUUUCCACUUGAGAGAGCAAGUCGAAAAAGUGAUUCUUACUUUUGGCUCCGGUUCUGGAGUUGCUGUUACUUGGGAUCAUGUCUUAUCUCAUUUUCAAAUCACUCACUGAAUAGGUAACAGGAAGAUAGUGUACAGAAGAUAAAGCAUCAUGCCAUCUGGCUGCCAUUAGUUUCAUUGUAAAUUAAUAUAAAUGUCUCCGUUUUACAUCAUUCAAAUAGGUAAAUCAUCUGCAGUUCCUGAUUGUGCCUUAGCCUGGACUUAUCUAUAUAUAAAUUCAUCUCUUUACCAGUCAAGCCAGAGUUCUCUCCUAUCCUCAUUCCAUACUUAUCUAUCAUCAUGUUUUCAUUAUAUACCAUUUGCUUUGCUAUUGUUUAUAUUUAUCAUUAUUAUUAAUAAUGCAUUUAUGAUGUGUUUUUGAACUGUGUCAUUUGAUUCUACAGUAUGAUAUGAAAGAUUAUUCAGCCAAAUUCUAUUAAAUGCCUGGCCAUGGAUUGGAUGAUUAGAAUACCCAUCAAUGGACUAAGCAAAUUAUUGUCACUGCCACUCCCAGGCUGAACAUCAAGGUGAUGAGUGAAGUCAAGUUGAGGGAAUGGCCAACCACUUCAUUGCAUACUUAAAAAAGACACCUGUUUAAAGCAGAAAGACAUAUCAGGAGAAGCUCUAACCUAUUGACAUCCACAAGGUAUUUCAAAAUAAAAAAGCUAUCUACAAAAGAUAUGUAGAUAAUGAUAUGAUAAUAUGGAAGACAGAUGAUAAAACAGAAGAAUUAAAGAAAGUCUUCACAGACAGGGCCGCAUUUACCAUAAGGCACAUUAGGUGCAAGUUGAGGCCUCACUCUCUAUGAGACCAUA
rnacentral:lncRNA from 1 species